GUAUUCCUUAGAGCAAAGGAUGCAAUGUCAAGCAAGUUGUGAUACCUCAACUAUCUACAAUUUAACACCAAGGAAAGAACACUGUUUGGAGAAAUGAGAAAGAUUAUCAUCAGUGUCUUUCAGAAGUCAUCAAAAGAAGAAAAGGAGAAAAGAGAGGAGAAAGCAGAAAGAUCUGGAGUCUGGGAAGUUCAAGAGCAUGGCACCAACAUCUGGCAAGGGCUUUCAUUCUGCAUCAUCUCAUGGAGGAAAAUAAAAAGGAGGCUGGAUGCUCCUGUGAAGUACGUCUUUUAUCUACUUGCUAUCUUUGCAAUUCCUUCAUGCUACAAUGAGAGAUAGAGUUUAAACCUGAAAACAUUCUUGGAAAAGGAAUCUUCAUUAAUUCAAAUAUACCACAAGGUUCUGCCACUGUGGCCAUCACCUGGGAUUGGAGAAAGGCAAAUGGAACAGACCAACUCAGAAUUACAGUCCUCAUUUAUUUCAUCAGAGGUUGGCCUGUACUUACAUUAGCCCUUUCUGGCUAGAGCUUCAUGUCUCACCCACUGUCUGUUCACUUCUGACCUGAAACAAUGGGACUGCAGAAGAGAGAAGGAAAAUAUCUGGUGGUCAGGCUAACUCUGUGUACCCCAUGAUGAAGAUGUUUUCCAUAGGAGUUCAUUGUCACAGAUUUCAGGUAAAUCCAGAUUUGGAGCUUAAAUGACUCAAAUGCUUUGCCUACAUUGAUCCUACAUUCAGGCUGCUUACAUAUCUCUUGGCUUCUCUGAGAACCAGAUUGUCACCACUUAAAGUGUCUUCCAGAGUCCUCACGAGUAUCAGAGAAGGCAUAAUCUGUACACGUGGCUUCAUUUAAAAUGAAAAUAUCAAGCAGUGUCAUUUUCACAAGUAUCCCCACACUGUCUGAGGCUGAAAAGAAGAGUGUAGCUAUGCACACUGCAGUGAGAAGAAAAUUUCAGCUCAAUUGGAGGAUGUAAAGAUUGAAAUACCACUGCUCCUAGUUCUGAUGCAAAAUUGAAAAGAGUGCACUGGGUCUUCAAAUGGCAUAUUGACAAGGAGAAAGAGGAAAGGAUGCCCCAGGACAGCCUGGGGGUCAAGGCUGGGCUCAGGCAUGCCUGGACAAGCCAUGCAAGUUGUCUCCGGACUUGAACCACGUAUCAGAGGAGCUAUUUGAGGAGCCACAUCAGCAUACCUGCUUCUGUGGGCCCCCAGGCUGUGGUGCUCAGCCCUUGCACUAUGAAACAUUUUUUUUUUCCAGAAGCCAAAGCUUUGAGCAUCUCCUCCCAUGUAGAGAGUGUAUAUGUUUACGUCCAUGUCUUUCGCCAUGUGAACGCAUGCAACCACCACCUCAAAUAUCAUAAAUCCUCUCUCUCCCCCUUUCUGUCUGCCUGUUUAUCUACAAUCUGUCUAUUUAAAUUCUUUUUAAACAAGAAGGGAAUAUCUUUAUGCCUGUUUGUAGGGAUAUUCUACAUCCAUCUGUUAUUUACAUCAUUCGUUUUCCUGAGGUGUCUCCAACAAAUCCUGGCUGGAUGCACUGUAUGUGUUAUUAAUAAAACAGCUGUAAAAA
ensembl:lncRNA LINC01539 long intergenic non-protein coding RNA 1539